rnacentral:rRNA from 1 species
CAGUCGCCGCGGUAAUACGAAGAGGGCUAGCGUUGCUCGGAAUGACUGGGCGUAAAGGGCGCGUAGGCGGCGGCCAAAGUCAGGCGUGAAAUUCCCGGGCUCAACCUGGGGGCUGCGUUUGAUACUUGGUUGCUUGAGUGGGGAAGAGGGUCGUGGAAUUCCCAGUGUAGAGGUGAAAUUCGUAGAUAUUGGGAAGAACACCGGUGGCGAAGGCGGCUCACUGGCCCGACACUGACGCUGAGGCGCGAAAGCGUGGGGAGCAAACAGGAUUAGAUACCCCCGUAGUCCCUGUCCUUAUACA